rnacentral:rRNA from 1 species
AGGACGAACGCUGGCGGCGUGCUUAACACAUGCAAGUCGAGCGGAAAGGCCCUUCGGGGUACUCGAGCGGCGAACGGGUGAGUAACACGUGAGUAAUCUGCCCCUAGCUCUGGGAUAGCUCCGGGAAACCGGGAUUAAUACUGGAUACGACCACCUUAGACAUCUUUUGUGGUGGAAAGAAUUUCGGCUAGGGAUGAGCUCGCGGCCUAUCAGCUUGUUGGUGGGGUAACGGCCUACCAAGGCGACGACGGGUAGCCGGCCUGAGAGGGCGACCGGCCACACUGGGACUGAGACACGGCCCAGACUCCUACGGGAGGCAGCAGUGGGAAUAUUGCGCAAUGGGCGAAAGCCUGACGCAGCGACGCCGCGUGGGGAUGAAGGCCUUCGGGUUGUAAACCCUUUCAGCAGGGACGAAGCGAAAGUGACGGUACCUGCAGAAGAAGCGCCGGCUAACUACGUGCCAGCAGCCGC